CAGACAUUUAGAAAACAGCCCUUAGUCAGUCUCGAAAUUAAAAAAAAUAAGAAUUUCAAGUUUAGAUAUAUUUUUGGUUUGUUGAAUAAGUCAACAUCAGCGGCAACGAAAUUUAAGGUUAUCUUGUCGUCAUAAAAGACGCGGAUCUUCCAUUGGACUUACUAUUAGGCCCGGAAAUUGAAAAUAGUCAACUUGAUAAAGAACUAAAUAGUAAAUUAACUCAUAUAUUUUAAACAUCUGUUGCCAUGUUUACACUCACCAAGAGUUGUGGUGCCUUUGGAUCCACUGGGUCGGGCAAGCCGGAGACUUCUUUAACUUGUGUGCCUGCCAUGAAAGAUAAAUCGCUGGUGCUGGAUGCUAGUUUUAGAAAGAAAAUUAGUAAAAUCAUUACGCCAGACAUAAAUACUGCCCUAAGCCGACUUGCACUGAAGCAGACAUCGACAUCGGUUGCAAGGUGGUCUCACGCUGAUCACUCUACGGUGGAAGCAGCAUGUUAACCUGACAUUGGCGACUAAAGCACUUAUGCUGUGAAAUCGGCUGGCUAGAAAAUUCUGGGGGCUGCAAGACAGGGAUCAUUAGGUGGUCGUACACCAUGAUCGUGUGACCGAUAAUCACAUAUGGGGCGAUGGCCGGGGCCUCAAAAGCUCCGUAGACUUCGGUAGGGCUCCAACUAUCGAAGCUGUAAUGACUCGCAUGUAUUUGAAUUUCGGGAGCAAUGCUCACAUCUCCGGCGGCGGCACUUGAAGUCAUACUUGAGCUCACACCAAUUCAUCUAGUAAUCGGUCAGACAUCCAAACAUACACUGCUACAAAUGAGAGCAAAAGGGUGUGACACAGUUAAGGCAAUCUCGUCCCAGCGGAUGAAAGAGUUGAGUAGUACAAUAUCGUUGGCUCUCCUCCCAAGGGACAGCAUUACCAAAAAUGUUGACUUCACCAAGAAGUUCCUUUAGCAGCAAGGCUGAAUGGAUGGCAGGGAUGGAAUGAUUCCACUCUCGAGCUACUGCUUAGGUAUCGUACAAUCAAGUGGUACACUGACGGCUUGAAAAUGUCGGAGGUAAUCGAUACAGGAGUCGCAGGACCACGCACCAAACUCUCCAUCCCUAUGUGAAAAUUUUCAAGCAUUUUACAUGCAAAAGUCCUUGUCAUAAGUCGGUGUUUAGGGAUAAACUAUCUCAACGAACAUAUAACCAUAGGAGAUCAAAUCGCU